UCAUAUUUAUUUCAUGAUUACAUUUUUAUAUAUUUUUAUGUAAGUUAAAGAUGUUUCUAUGUAUAUUCUCAUUUCUAUACCUAUUAUGCAUUACUUCUAGUUCCUAUAUUUUAUGCAAGUCAGUCAAGUCAGUCGUAUAAACCUCUUGGUUGUGUCUGUUAAAAUGUUUUAACUACCCUAUCUUAAUCUUGGCCCAAACCCAUCGAGUAUACGAUCAAGAGAUCGUUGAAGUUUCUCUGUUGCCCCGAUUUUCUCUCCUUUCCCUAAAAUCUUUCUCUUUUUUGGAAGAACUUGGUGUUGGGUUGGAUUGUACUUCAU
rnacentral:lncRNA from 1 species